CCAGACUCCUACGGGAGGCAGCAGUGGGGAAUAUUGCACAAUGGGGGAAACCCUGAUGCAGCGACGCCGCGUGAGCGAUGAAGUAUUUCGGUAUGUAAAGCUCUAUCAGCAGGGAAGAAAAUGACGGUACCUGACUAAGAAGCCCCGGCUAACUACGUGCCAGCAGCCGCGGUAAUACGUAGGGGGCAAGCGUUAUCCGGAUUUACUGGGUGUAAAGGGAGCGUAGACGGCUGUGCAAGCCAGAUGUGAAAGCCCGGGGCCCAACCCCGGGACUGCUUUGGAAACUGCCUGACUGGAGUGCUGGAGAGGCAAGCGGAAUUCCUAGUGUAGCGGUGAAAUGCGUAGAUAUUAGGAAGAACACCAGUGGCGAAGGCGGCUUGCUGGACAGUAACUGACGUUGAGGCUCGAAAGCGUGGGGAGCAAACAGGAUUAGAUACCCGUGUAC
rnacentral:rRNA from 1 species